rnacentral:rRNA from 1 species
GACGGAGGGUGCAAGCGUUGUUCGGAAUCACUGGGCGUAAAGCGCGUGUAGGCGGUGCGAUAAGUCGGACGGGAAAGCCCGGGGCUUAACCCCGGAAGGGCAGCCGAAACUGUCGAGCUUGAGUACGGGAGAGGGAAGCGGAAGUCCUGGUGUAGAGGUGAAAUUCGUAGAUAUCAGGAGGAACACCGGGGGCGAAGGCGGCUUCCUGGACCGAUACUGACGCUGAGACGCUAAAGCGUGGGAAGCAAACAGGAUUAGAUACCCCGGGAGUCC